GCCAGGUGUGGUGGUGUGUGCCUGCAAUCCCAGCUACUCAGGAGGCUGAGACAGAUAUUUGCAAGUUUGAGGCCAGCUUCAGCAACUUAGUAAGUCUCUC
rnacentral:sRNA from 1 species